rnacentral:rRNA from 1 species
UGGGGAAUAUUGCACAAUGGGCGCAAGCCUGAUGCAGCCAUGCCGCGUGUGUGAAGAAGGCCUUCGGGUUGUAAAGCACUUUCAGCGAGGAGGAAGGUGGUGAGCUUAAUACGCUCAUCAAUUGACGUUACUCGCAGAAGAAGCACCGGCUAACUCCGUGCCAGCAGCCGCGGUAAUACGGAGGGUGCAAGCGUUAAUCGGAAUUACUGGGCGUAAAGCGCACGCAGGCGGUUUGUUAAGUCAGAUGUGAAAUCCCCGGGCUCAACCUGGGAACUGCAUUUGAAACCGGCAAGCUAGAGUCUCGUAGAGGGGGGUAGAAUUCCAGGUGUAGCGGUGAAAUGCGUAGAGAUCUGGAGGAAUACCGGCGGCGAAGGCGGCCCCCCUGGACGAAGACUGACGCUCAGGUGCGAAAGCGUGGGGCAGCAAACAGGAUUAGAUACCCUGGUAGUCACGCUGUAAACGAUGUCGAUUUGGAGGUUGUGCCCUUGAGGCGUGGCUCCGGAGCUAACGCGUUAAAUCGACCGCCUGGGGGAGUACGGCCGCAAGGUUAAAACUCAAAUGAAUUGACGGGGUC